rnacentral:rRNA from 1 species
UACAGAGGGUGCGAGCGUUGUCCGGAAUCACUGGGCGUAAAGCGCAUGUAGGUGGCGCGGAAAGUUGGACGUGAAAGCUCCCGGCUCAACUGGGAGAGGUCCUUGCAUACUGGCAAACUCGAGGGAGGCAGAGGAAAGUGGAAUUCCCGGUGUAGUGGUGAUAUGCGUAGAUAUUCGCAAGAACACCAGUGGCGAAGGCGGCUCACUGGCCCGAUACUGACGCUGAGGCACGAAAGCGUGGGGAGCAAACAGG